rnacentral:rRNA from 1 species
GGCUCGAAAGCGUGGGGAGCGAACGGGAUUAGAUACCCCGGUAGUCCACGCUGUAAACGUUGUGCACUAGGUGUGAGGAGUGUCUACCCUCUUCGUGCCGUAGCUAACGCAUUAAGUGCACCGCCUGGGGAGUACGGUCGCAAGACUGAAACUCAAAGGAAUUGACGGGGGCCCGCACAAGCGGUGGAGCAUGUGGUUUAAUUCGAGGCAACGCGAAGAACCUUACCCAGGCUUGACAUCCCAGGACCGCCUACGAAAGUAGGUUUUCUCUUCGGAGGCCUGGAGACAGGUGUUGCAUGGCUGUCGUCAGCUCGUGUCGUGAGAUGUUGGGUUAAGUCCCGCAACGAGCGCAACCCUUAUCCUUAGUUACCAGCGGUUCGGCCGGGCACUCUAAGGAGACUGCCGGUGAUAAGCCGGAGGAAGGUGGGGACGACGUCAAGUCAUCAUGGCCCUUAUGCCUGGGGCUACACACGUGCUACAAUGGCCGGUACAAUGGGUCGCGAACCCGCGAGGGGGAGCCAAUCUCAAAAAGCCGGUCUCAGUUCGGAUUGGAGUCUGCAAUUCGACUCCAUGAAGCCGGAAUCGCUAGUAAUCGCGCAUCAGCUACGGCGCGGUGAAUACGUUCCCGGGCCUUGUACACACCGCCCGUCACAUGACCCGAGUCGGGUGCACCUUAAGUCGCCGGCCCAACCGCAAGGAGGGAGGCGCCCAAGGUGUGCUUGGUGAGGGGGAUGAAGUCGUAACAAGGUAGCCGUAUCGGAAGGUGCGGCUGGAUCACGACCUU